GCUUAAAGAGGGGUUAAUGUCCUAUCAGCUAGUUGGUGGGGUAAUGGCCUACCAAGGCAAAGACGGGUAGCCGGCUUGAGAGGGUGGUCGGCCACACUGGGACUGAGACACUGCCCAGACUCCUACGGGAGGCUGCAGUCGAGAAUCUUUCGCAAUGCCCGAAAGGGUGACGAAGCGACGCCGCGUGUGGGAAGAAGGCCUUCGGGUUGUAAACCACUGUCGGGAGUUAGGAAAUGCAAGAGCGUUAAUAGCGCACUUGCUUGACUAAGGCUCCAGAGGAAGCCACGGCUAACUCUGUGCCAGCAGCCGCGGUAAUACAGAGGCGGCAAGCGUUGUUCGGAAUUAUUGGGCGUAAAGAGCACGUAGGCGGCCUUGCAAGUCAGUUGUGAAAGCCCUCCGCUUAACGGAAGAACGGCAUCUGAUACUACAGGGCUUGAGUACGGGAGGG
rnacentral:rRNA from 1 species